CUGCAGCUCAAGUGGUGAUCAUUAUUAUUGGGCCUAAAACGUCCGUAGCCGGUUUAGUAAAUGCCUGGGUAAAUCGUGUAGCUUAACUAUACGACUUCCGGGUAGACUGCUAAACUUGAGACCGGGAGAGGCUAGAGGUACUCCUGGGGUAGAGGUGAAAUUCUGUAAUCCUAGGGGGACCACCAGUGGCGAAGGCGUCUAGCUAGAACGGGUCUGACGGUGAGGGACGAAGCCCUGGGGCACAAACCGGAUUAGAUACCCGAGUAGUCC
rnacentral:rRNA from 1 species